UGUCCAGACUCCUACGGGAGGCAGCAGUGAGGAAUAUUGGUCAAUGGGCGCGAGCCUGAACCAGCUAAGUCGCGUGAGGGAGGACGGCCCUACGGGUUGUAAACCUCUUUUGCCGGGGAGCAACGGGCGUCACGUGUGGCGCCACUGAGAGUACCCGGAGAAAAAGCAUCGGCUAACUACGUGCCAGCAGCCGCGGUAAUACGUAGGGGGCAAGCGUUAUCCGGAUUUACUGGGUGUAAAGGGAGCGUAGACGGCAUGGCAAGUCAGAUGUGAAAGCCCGGGGCUCAACCCCGGGACUGCAUUUGAAACUGUCAGGCUGGAGUGCAGGAGAGGUAAGUGGAAUUCCUAGUGUAGCGGUGAAAUGCGUAGAUAUUAGGAGGAACACCAGUGGCGAAGGCGGCUUACUGGACUGUAACUGACGUUGAGGCUCGAAAGCGUGGGGAGCAAACAGGAUUAGAUACCCUAGUA
rnacentral:rRNA from 1 species